rnacentral:lncRNA from 1 species
AUAAAAUAAAGACGAUCACUUGAUUUAGGAUCAAGGUUUGUUUAUGAAAAUAUUUUUGUGGUUUUUGUUACUUGCAUGUUUUUUGUUUUUUGAAUAUUGGACUAAAAUUAAACUAACGGAGCAUAAAAAUAAAGCGUAGGUACCUUAUGGUGGCGUUGGACCACCACCAGGACCUUUGACCUAGGCUAUGAAGCAAAUAAGAGAGGCAUACACACACGCACGCACACAUGCAUGAUUUACAUUAAGCCUAGUUUACAUUCUAAGGUCUGCAGAAAAUAAAUGAC